rnacentral:rRNA from 1 species
CCUACGGGUGGCUGCAGUGAGGAAUAUUGGUCAAUGGACGAGAGCCUGAACCAGCCAAGUAGCGUGAAGGAUGACUGCCCUCUGGGUUGUAAACUCUUUUUAUAUGGGAGUAAAAUGUUCCACGUGUGGGAUUUUGUAUGUACCAUAUCAAUAAGGAACGGCUAACUCCGUGCCAGCAGCCGCGGUACUACGGUGGAUCCGAGCGUUAUCCGGAUUUAUUGGGUUUAAAGGGAGCGUAGGUGGAUUGUUAAGUCAGUUGUGAAAGUUUGCGGCUCAACCGUAAAAUUGCAGUUGAAACUGGCAGUCUUGAGUACAGUAGAGGUGGGCGGAAUUCGUGGUGUAGCGGUGAAAUGCUUAGAUAUCACGAAGAACACCGAUUGCGAAGGCAGUUCACUGGACUGCAACUGACACUGAGGCUCGAAAGUGUGGGUAUCAAACAGGAUUAGAUACCCCUGUAGUC